CACGGUGACUGAAGCCCUGGCGACUCCAAAGGGAGCCGUCCUGUACGUGUAAAUAGCAUUUGUGUGCUUUUCUCCUGUCAACCUGUCUGGUGUCGAUCUUGUCUGGAGACCGUAGGAAGACGGAGGAAACCUUCACCUCCCCUCCAGUUUCUGGUCUGAGGAUGGCAGAGCCUUGGCUGAGAUGCUGUUGGCUCCGGGGUCUGCAGCUGAGAGAUCUUGGGACCUGAGUAAUCCGGCAGAAGCCCCCCGGUGCAUAGUUGUAUAUUCUUAGUUCUGGAUCCUUCUAGCUGUGGCAUGUUGGACCCUGCGUCAGCAUGGCCUGACCAGCAGUGCCAUGUCCGCGCCCAGGAUUCGAACCAGCAAAACCCUGGGCCUCAGAAGCGAAGCACGCGAACUUAACCGCUCGGCCACAGGGCCAGCCCCUCUUUUUUUCUUAACUAAUGGAUUUUGUAUUUCCAUACCUGUAUCAUGGCUAAAAUUUAAAAAUAAAAGCCAUAAGAUCUCUGUUGGCAUCUGUCUCUAUGUUUUUGUGUGUCUAUAUAUGUAUGUUAUAUGUAUGUAAUAUUUUUCUACCUCCAAGAAGUAUUACUAAAAACUAGCUUGUG
rnacentral:lncRNA from 1 species